rnacentral:rRNA from 1 species
GACGAACGCUGGCGGCGUGCUUAACACAUGCAAGUCGAACGGAAAGGCCCUGCUUUUGUGGGGUGCUCGAGUGGCGAACGGGUGAGUAACACGUGAGUAACCUGCCCUUGACUUUGGGAUAACUUCAGGAAACUGGGGCUAAUACCGGAUAGGAGCUCCUGCUGCAUGGUGGGGGUUGGAAAGUUUCGGCGGUUGGGGAUGGACUCGCGGCUUAUCAGCUUGUUGGUGGGGUAGUGGCUUACCAAGGCUUUGACGGGUAGCCGGCCUGAGAGGGUGACCGGCCACAUUGGGACUGGGAUACGGCCCAGACUCCUACGGGAGGCAGCGGUGGGGAAUAUUGCACAAUGGGCGGAAGGCUGAUGCAGCAACGCCGCGUGCGGGAUGACGGCCUUCGGGUUGUAAACCGCUUUCGCCUGUGACGAAGCGUGAGUGACGGUAAUGGGUAAAGAAGCACCGGCUAACUACGUG